CCCACAGCCUCUUCAGGGAAGCGAGCAAGGGGCUUGGAAGUGCCUGAAGCCAGUGGGCUGGGGACUCACGGCCGGGACACUCAGGGCCGUGCGCCGUUUCUCCUGGAAUAACUGGAGGUGAUUUCAUGGAACCUGGAGGCUGGGCUUCAGGCUGGGGGGAGAGGCUCCAGACUGGGUCUUCUCCGUGGCUCUGCCCCCCGCUCUCCUUGCUUGAGUGGUGGGGGCCCUGCAUCCUCUCAUGCCCACCCCCACCUUUCUCGCCAAAUUGUCGGAGGCUUUUGUCACCUGGAGACACUGUUCCUGCCAGCUCCGGUCUUGGAAAACAUGGCCUCUCCUCUCCUGCCCUGGCCCCGGCCCCUCCUGCCAGCUGGACGUGGGCAUUUCUGCACCCAGUAGAACCCCACAGCCAGGAAAGAUGCCUGGAAGGCUAGAGAAGAGGCGUGAUGGGGGGACCCCAUGUGUGGCGACAGAGCAGCACACCCAGCUAUUCUCAGCCACCAUGUGGGAGAGAAAUGACGCC
rnacentral:lncRNA from 1 species